GCUAGGAGAAAGGUCCUCUUGGCUAAGCCCAGGUCUUGUGACUGGCUCCUGGCUGUUCCAGGCACUAAAAGGAAGGAUCUGGCUGACAAGACCCUUCAGCAUUUGUUACUGAAGGUUUCCACCUGCAUUUUCUUUCCACCCAAACUACCCACGGCGGAGGACAAGCAAUGCGCCCAAAUGGAAUCACGGUGCUGUCAGGAGGGACUGUGAGCGCUUGGAGACCACAGAGUGCCAAAGGUUUAUUCUAACUUUUCUUCAUUUGAUAGUGGUUCACUAAUUAGCACUCUCUGGCAAUGGCCAUUCAGCCAGAAAGAGAUCUACUCAAUUGUCCAGGAACAUAGAUCCAUCUGCCCCACCAAGAUGUGUUAACAAACUGACAAAUAGCCUUGCUGAAAUGCAGGAUUGGUGGUGCAAACUAGGGAAAAGAAAUCUGGAGGAUGAGUUGAGUUGCUCUGAAAAAGAUCAGAAAGGGAAAUGGAAGACCUCCUGCCAUCUGAAGAAAUCUGAGAGGGAGAGGCACUGACUCCCCAGCCAUGUGAUGGAGCCACCUUGGAAAUGGAUCCUGCAGCCCAGUCAAGCCUUUGGACGAAUGCAGCUCCAACUGACAUCUUGACCAUAACCUUAUGAGAGAUCCUGAGCCAGACCCACCAGAUAAGCCACUCUCAAAUUCCUAAACUACAGGAAACAUAAGUAUAAUAAAUAUUUAUUGUUGCUUUAAGCCAUUAAGUUUUGGAGUAAUUUGUUACACAGUAGUAGCUAACUAAUGGAGUCCUAGUGGUAUUGACCUGCAGCCCCCCAUAGCUGUACACUUCUCAUCAACCCCUUCCCUGUGCUGCCUUAGAUCACCUCCAAAGAAAACCACCUGCGUUCAAAAUCUUAUCUCAGGGUUUGCUUUUGGAAUCGAAGAAAUCCCAGAGAAGGUAAAUAUUAUUAUUAUCCUCAUUUUAGGGAUGAGAAAAAACACACGUAGGUUAGAGUUACACAGCAAAUAGUGGCAGAACAGAGGUUUUCUGAGUCCUCAUCCACUGCUUCCUGUUUCAUCACAGCGGCUUCUCCCUCCCACCCCAAUCCUUUCCAAUUUCAAGCAAUCUCUCUUCUCUCCCC